GCACUGAUGAAGAGUCCCAGGCAAGGACGAAAUAGCUGUCCAGUAC
rnacentral:hammerhead_ribozyme from 1 species